GACGAACGCUGGCGGCGUGCCUAAUACAUGCAAGUAGAACGCUGAAGGAGGAGCUUGCUUCUCUGGAUGAGUUGCGAACGGGUGAGUAACGCGUAGGUAACCUGCCUGGUAGCGGGGGAUAACUAUUGGAAACGAUAGCUAAUACCGCAUAAUAGCAGUUAUUGCAUGAUAACUGUUUGAAAGGUGCAAUUGCACCACUACCAGAUGGACCUGCGUUGUAUUAGCUAGUUGGUGGGGUAACGGCUCACCAAGGCGACGAUACAUAGCCGACCUGAGAGGGUGAUCGGCCACACUGGGACUGAGACACGGCCCAGACUCCUACGGGAGGCAGCAGUAGGGAAUCUUCGGCAAUGGACGGAAGUCUGACCGAGCAACGCCGCGUGAGUGAAGAAGGUUUUCGGAUCGUAAAGCUCUGUUGUAAGAGAAGAACGAGUGUGAGAGGGAAAGUUCACACUG
rnacentral:rRNA from 1 species